rnacentral:rRNA from 1 species
UACGUAGGUGGCAAGCGUUGUCCGGAAUUAUUGGGCGUAAAGCGCGCGCAGGUGGUUUCUUAAGUCUGAUGUGAAAGCCCACGGCUCAACCGUGGAGGGUCAUUGGAAACUGGGGAACUUGAGUGCAGGAGAGAAGAGUGGAAUUCCACGUGUAGCGGUGAAAUGCGUAGAGAUGUGGAGGAACACCAGUGGCGAAGGCGGUUCUCUGGGACGGUACUGACGCUGAGACGCGAAAGCGUGGGGAGCGAACAGG